AAGUCAAAAUUUACAGCAAGACUUUUCUCCUUCUGAAGGGUUCUGUAAAGCUUCCAGCUGCUUCUCCAGUCCUCUGGCUCCUACAGCUGUGCCCCCCAGUGCUCUUUAUGUGGCUCAACAAGUACCACCAGGCUGCUUCCUGAAGAUCUGGAGCAGCUGCAUCCCAUCUGGAUUCUGCUGGGAGCCUGCUCCACCACUGCCUGGGUGAUCCCACUCGUCUGUGCUGGGAGAAUUAUCUGCAGCAGCAGCAGCAGCUUGGGCUUGCUGAUAAGAGCUUUACACAGAAAUGAGGCAAGAGAAGGCUGGGAUGCACAGAUCCCAGUGCCCCUCUCCAGGUCCUGCUGUGAGCACAAAGCCUGGUCUCAUUGUGCUUAGCUAGAACAUCAGCUACAGAAUCUGAGUGCUCAAGAGCUGGGAAAUGAAGAGAUGAAGACUGGACUCCUGUCAUUUUAACACCUGGAUCAGAAAACUCUUCAGUGUGUUGCAUCCAAAGAGGAAAAAAUUAGGCUUAUCCUUGUAAAAUGUGCAGCUUAAUAUCUGUGUUCCCAUGGCAGGAGAAGAUUCCAGGGAUGGGGCAGCCACAGCUUCUCUGAGCACCCUGUGCCAGGGCCUCCCCAUCCUCCCAGGGAAGAAUUCCUUCCCCAGAUCCCAUCUAAACCUGCCCCAUGUCAUUUUAAUGCCAUUUCCCCUGUCAAAAGUUCCCCUCUAACUCUUCUGGGCGCCCCUUUAGGUUCUGGAAGGUGCUUUAGCCCAGCUGUGGAUUCACUGCUGGAUUUUUCCUGUCAGCUGAGAGGGAGGAAAACCUCCAUUUCUAAACACCAAAGGUUGGGAUCUGAGACAGGAGCUCUUGCCAUGGGAUGGAAGAAAGGAAGAGAACGGGACAGAGCUGGGGCAAUAAUUCAGAGCAGUGACCUUUGGCUGCUGAGGCAAACUGGCACUGACUCCAGCCCCAAAAACCCCAAUUUUGGUCCCAUCUGGCUGUGCAGGGCUCCAGCACCAGCAGGACCAGGACUUGAACUCCCCAGCACUCUCUUCCUCCAGGAGAUGGUUUUGUUUAUGCCUGGAGCCACCCCUGGAUAAAAAUGGGGCUUAGCCAGGCUGGGGUGGUUUCCUCUCCCAGGAACAAGUGAAGGACAAGAGGAAAUCACCUCAAGUUGCACCAGGGGAGGUGUAUUAGGAGGAAAUUAGGACAAAUUGAAAUAAAAAUUGAAAGCAAAAGCUGCUGCAGAGAAUAGGCCUUCUCUAUUUUUUUCUUUUUUUCCCCCCUGCUUUAGCUUUAGCAUUUUCUGCCACAUUUUUGUGAUUACUUUCAGUAAUAUCUUGCCAGGUCAUUGUUACAAAUCAUCUUUUCAAAAAUAGCAGCAGUAACUUCUUGUGGCUGAAAAGUGGGGAUUUCAA